UACGUAGGGUGCGAGCGUUGUCCGGAAUUCUUGGGCGUAAAGGGCUCGUAGGCGGUCUGUCGCGUCGGUAGUGAAAACUCAGGGCUUAACCCUGAGCCUGCUUCCGAUACGGGCAGACUAGAGGUAUGCAGGGGAGAAUGGAAUUCCUGGUGUAGCGGUGAAAUGCGCAGAUAUCAGGAGGAACACCGGUGGCGAAGGCGGUUCUCUGGGCAUUACCUGACGCUGAGGAGCGAAAGUGUGGGGAGCGAACAGG
rnacentral:rRNA from 1 species